rnacentral:rRNA from 1 species
AGGAUUCCCUCAGUAACGGCGAGUGAAGCGGGAAGAGCCCAGCACCGAAUCGCCCGGCCUCUGGUCGGCGCGAACUGUGGUGUUUAGGACAGCCUCUGAGGCGGCGUACGGGUGUCCGAGUCCUUCAGAACGGGGCUUUACCCACGGCGGGUGAUAGGCCUCUACCGGCCCCCGUCGCCGUCCCUUUGAGCGUCCUCGGAGUCGGGUUGUUUGUGAAUGCAGCCCAAAGUGGGUGGUAAACUCCAUCUAAGGCUAAAUACUGACACGAGGCCGAUAGCGGACAAG